rnacentral:rRNA from 1 species
GGAGUUAGCCGGUGCUUCUUCUGCGAGUAACGUCACAGAUGUAAGGUAUUAACUUACACCCUUUCCUCCUCGCUGAAAGUGCUUUACAACCCGAAGGCCUUCUUCACACACGCGGCAUGGCUGCAUCAGGGUUUCCCCAAUUGUGCAAUAUUCCCCACUGCUGCCUCCCGUAGGAGUCUGGGCCGUGUCUCAGUCCCAGUGUGGCUGAUCAUCCUCUCAGACCAGCUAGGGAUCGUCGCCUAGGUGAGCCUUUACCUCACCUACUAGCUAAUCCCACCUGGGCUUAUCCAUCAGCGCAAGGCCCGAAGGUCCCCUGCUUUCCCCCGUAGGGCGUAUGCGGUAUUAGCAGUCGUUUCCAACUGUUAUCCCCCACAAAUGGGCAAAUUCCCAGGCAUUACUCACCCGUCCGCCGCUCGUCAUCUUCAAAAGCAAGCUUUUGAAAUGUUACCGCUCGACUUGCAUGUGUUAGGCCUGCCGCCAGCGUUCAAUCUGAGCCAGAAUCGAACCCUGA